GUAUUUUCCAAAGUACUGAACGGAUCUGGGUGAAUUUUGGAUAUGUGGUUCACCCAGAUCCAUUCAGUACUUUGGAAAAUAC